AACGCACAUUGCGCCCCUUGGUAUUCCAUGGGGCAUGCCUGUUCGAGCGUCAUCUACACCCUCAAGCUCUGCUUGGUGUUGGAGCGUCUGUCCCGCCUCCGCGCGUGGACUCGCCUUAAAAGUAUUGGCAGCGGUCCUUGCCCCCUCUCGCGCAGCACAUUGCGCUUCUCGAGGGCGGCUCCGGGCCUGCGACCCACGAAGAUGACCACCGUCUUUGACCUCGGAUCAGGUAGGGAUACCCGCUGAACUUAA
rnacentral:misc_RNA from 1 species